rnacentral:lncRNA from 1 species
UCAGGAUAGUUAGUGCAGAGUAAGUAUAUCUUAGUUCCAAUUGAUGUUGAUGAAGAUGUCGAAGAAAUGCUGAGCUUUCCUUUGAAAUAUUCAGAAUAUUGAUUUUUAGAAUUAUAUAUUAAAAAGGAAGAUGUAUCGAGCUUUGGAUAUUAUAGUCGGCUUUUAACCCAAGUGGACAAUACUGUUGGGCCUUUCUCGCCUUUUAUAAUUCCUAUGGUGCAAACCGACAGUGUUAAGGCCAUAUUUGUAGAACAACAUUCUACUACUAUCGGUCCUAGUUGUCCAAUUAUUCAAAGUCCUAUAGUGACUU